CCGAACCCAAAAUCCGAAGUGGAGGCAUGGAGGCUUUCUCUGUCUCCGUUUCGCUCUGUACGACGGCGUCUCCACCAAGCGCCCGCCACGAGCAUCGUCACCUGCGGGCUUCGCAACAGUACGAGAAGGCCACUGUGGAGGUCGAACGUUGUUGUCGACGGAGGCCACACGAGCCGUCCAGUCCCUCAUGCUGCCCAAAUCCACUCUUCGGUUGAACCACGCCCUCGGCACGAUCCUCGCUCGGCUCUCGUAAUCCCAUCUCUCGAACGCCUUCGCUGAGCUCAAGAGACUGAACGAGGUCGACUUGGCCCUCGAGCUAUAGGUCCCCGAGUACAUGUGCAAGGAGGAAUGUUAUGGAACUGAUCUUGCAUUGCUUUGCGAAAUGAUCCAACUGUUGGGAAAGAACAAAUGGUUGCUCUCGCUGAAGUUGUUUUCUCUGGACUUCUGAAAGAAGGGACUGAACCUGACACAAGGCCUUAUGCGGAGAUGAUUGGAGCAUAUCUUAGAGCAGACAUGAUUGAAAAGGCAAUGCAGACUUAUGAGAAGAUGAAAGCACCUGGUUGUACCCCAAAUGAAUUCUGGAUGCACUAUUUCAAUAUUUCCUUUUUAUUGUUCUAAUUCUAUCUUAAAAGAUUCCAGCUAUACGUCUUCGGGUAUGUGUGCAAGGAGGAAUGGUGCGAAACUGAUCUCGCAUUGCAUUGCGACAUGAUCCAACUAUUGGGAAAGAACAAAAUGGUUGCUCUUGCUGAAGUUGUUUUCUCUGGACUUCUGAAAUAAGGGAUUGAACUUGACACAAUGGCUUAUGCCGAGAUGGUUGGAGUAUAUCUAAGAGUGGACAUGAUUGAAAAGGCAACGCAGAUGUAUGAGAAGAUGAAAGCAGCUGGCCGUACCCCAAAUGAAUUUACCCUGAUGAUUCUCAUAAGAAAUCUAGAGAAGGCCAGAGAAACAGAUCUGGUAGAGUUUGUGAAGAGAGAUUGUGUUCAAUAUUUGGAUUCUCCUAAAAAGUUCUUAGAAGAUGUCAACAGAAAAUUUGUAGGAAUUCACUCUUCCAUACUCAUUCUAGCAUUAUGUUCUCUAUAUGCAUAUCCUUCUGCAUGGGCUUCUCUCUGAUCCUUCCUGUUUUAAGCAGCUUUAAGAUUAUCUUUUGAUACGAAUGCUCAUGUCUCUUGGAUGAUAUCUGGGGAUGAAUUUUCUUUAAGGGCAGUCAUCAUUGCUCAAAAAUGAAUGUUUGACACAACAUAAACUAAAUCUUUAUAUUCUUGGCUUGUCCAGGUAGGAGUUCUGCACAUGCUACCCCUAACCACAGUAUUUUCUGGCCAGUGGUUAAAUUUGUUCUUCGCUUUCUUCCGAAAGUUGUUCUGCUUCCUUGCAUGUUCUGCAUUUAUAAUAAGAAUGCGUUCCUUCUUUACAUUACUAGUCGCUUAUAAUGAAUUCUUGGGAUUUACAAUGUAAUUCUGUUGUUUGAGUCCAGUGUUCCAUUCACUAACGAAAAUUUCCUGAGGCAGGGAGAAGUAUUAUUGCGAUAGCUCUAGCUUUUGCUAUCCUUUCGCUUUCUAGAUGCUUGAACUUUACUUUUGACAUAUCUUCAUGGGAAACUUUGCCUCUUGAAGAUGAGGUUCUCAACUUCUCUUCUUGUUCUUUUACAGCCGAAUAGGAGAUCGAUUGACCUAGGACUCACGGCUAUGCAAGCAUGGGCAGCUGCAAGUCCUGCUCCAGCAAUGAAAACAGGCGCCACUUUUGAACGACUUCUGUCAAAAUCGUUACCCAUGGUUCACAGCAGGAUCUUGAAUAUUUUCUUCUAUUGUGAUAUAGAUACGCAUUCAAAUUAGUUAAAUUGUGAAAAUUCAAUCAUUACUAGAUUAACUCUGUCCUAUUUUAACCGAACGUGUAACUAUUCAAUCAAUUCGUUGGGUGCUAUGUGAUUUUGUUAA